rnacentral:rRNA from 1 species
AGAGUUUGAUCCUGGCUCAGAUGAACGCUGGCGGCGUGCUUAACACAUGCAAGUCGAACGGGAAACCUUUUAUUGAAGCUUCGGCAGAUUUAGCUGGUUUCUAGUGGCGGACGGGUGAGUAACGCGUGGGUAACCUGCCUUAUACAGGGGGAUAACAGUCAGAAAUGACUGCUAAUACCGCAUAAGCGCACAGAGCUGCAUGGCUCGGUGUGAAAAACUCCGGUGGUAUAAGAUGGACCCGCGUUGGAUUAGCUAGUUGGUGAGGUAACGGCCCACCAAGGCGACGAUCCAUAGCCGGCCUGAGAGGGUGAACGGCCACAUUGGGACUGAGACACGGCCCAGACUCCUACGGGAGGCAGCAGUGGGGAAUAUUGCACAAUGGGGGAAACCCUGAUGCAGCGACGCCGCGUGAAGGAAGAAGUAUCUCGGUAUGUAAACUUCUAUCAGCAGGGAAGAAAAUGACGGUACCUGACUAAGAAGCCCCGGCUAACUACGUGCCAGCAGCCGCGGU